UGACAGCUUGCGAGCCUUGCACGCGCACGU
rnacentral:piRNA from 1 species